rnacentral:rRNA from 1 species
UACCAGCACCCCGAGUGGUCGGGACGUUUAUUGGGCCUAAAGCAUCCGUAGCCGGUUCUACAAGUCUUCCGUUAAAUCCAACUGCUUAACAGGUGGGCUGCGGAAGAUACUAUAGAGCUAGGAGGCGGGAGAGGCAAGCGGUACUCGAUGGGUAGGGGUAAAAUCCGUUGAUCCAUUGAAGACCACCAGUGGCGAAGGCGGCUUGCCAGAACGCGCUCGACGGUGACGGAUGAAAGCUGGGGGAGCAAACCGG